CGCGUAGGCGGCCUGGGCAGUCCUGGGUGAAAGCCCCGGCUCAACCGGGGAAGGGCCUGGGAAACCACUGGGCUGGAGUGCUGGAGAGGGAGGCGGAAUUCCUGGUGUAGCGGUGAAAUGCGUAGAGAUCAGGAGGAACAUCGGCGGCGAAGGCGGCCUUCUGGACAGACACUGACGCUGAGGCGCGAAAGCCGGGGGAGCAAACA
rnacentral:rRNA from 1 species